CUUGCACGUAUCUUUCAACUCAACGCGGAAUCCACCUGCAAUCAGGCUAUCCGUCGUGUUUUCGAAUGAAGUACCUGCUCAUUUGUUACAAGCGUUAACUCUGUGGUCGCAUGAGAAAACACUAUUCAACAGCACACGGUUGUGCGCGGUCUGAGGAUGGAGACGUAGCCACCGAGACCCACGUAAGGCAACGUGACCCAGAACCUAUACAGAACCCAGAGGAAAUCAUCCUUUCUCAUAGUGGUCCUCGACAAGAGGAGGCUGUAGUCAGUGCUUCGCUCAUUUGCUCGGCUGAAACGGUGUCUUAUCCACCUCUAAUAAUUGCGCAUGCAUGUUCCUUGUUAUUUCUGAACGGGACUAAAGGCUUGGCGCGUAUUCACUCUCUCGCGUUUUGACUCAGUGACUAGGCAAGCAGUUGACGCAAGUGUUACUUCAAGCAACAAGGCGCAGCACGGGGACCCGUGGUUGCAGUGACGGGUCCCUCUCCGCUGAUGCGAUGGUGCCGAAAUGUAGGCCAGCAAUUUUUAGAACUGUGCCAUCCAGCCUUUCUGCGAGGAUUGCAAGAGAGUCGGCUUAAAAUAAUGUGGAGUUGGAUGAUGGAGUUGUAAUUGUAGCCAAUGUUAAGUGGAAAAAAAGGAAACAUUUGAUGGGUAAAAGUUAAGAUUCACUUGGAGAUGUAGCUGGCUGGCAUUUGGGUGUAUUGCGUCUUGGCGAGUGAUGGGAAAAGGCAUUCAAGCGUUCUAUUUCUCUGCUCAUGGAUCUAAGUCGUGUUGGAUCCCUUCUAUAGAUCUAUCUACUUCUGCCUCCACACUAGCCUACAUAUAUCUCUGUCUCUUGUCUAGCGAGUGAUUCAGAAAAAGAUUAUGGGCGUAACUAAAAAGGGUAAAGGAGAAUUCACACAGAUUUGGAACAAUAGACAUCAAUUCACAAUGGACAAUGAAUAGAGGAGCAGAACUGUUUGGGUUUCUGGACACGUCCACGCCAGGCGGGCUCGUGACGAGGCCAACGACAUGUGGUGCGGGACUGACUGGCAGUCUGGACACUUGCACAAAUUAGAGAGUCGUUUGGCCAGUUUUCUUGUCUCAGGCCACUCAAGCAAAAGUAGACUAAUGCCAGUGUUUGUAGUAAACUGCUCCGGAUUGGAUUGACUCAGUACAUACAUUUGGUCUCUUUCAAAGUGUAUCUAUGCAAGAUAGCUCCGGGUUUAUUUCUCGCUGGCUCAGUUCAAACUCGUAUAGCUGUAGCAAACUCUACACUGCUACUGCAGAACUCGAGUUUUUCUAUCAUCAAAAAUUCUAUAGCCUAACUGAAAUUCAAUGUGGACAUCAGUAACGCCUAUUUUAUUGGAUUUACGGAUGCAGGACCUUGGACAGAUAUACCAUCUUCUGAAGCCCGAAAAAAAACCCGCAGAGAAAUCAUUUGAGUGAGAGAGAUCAGUAGCUGUGUGGGCCUGGACAAGGAGAACAGGAGGAGGAGGAGAAACAGAGAGAAAAAUAGGAAGAGAACGAGAGGAUAGGAUUGAUGCCUGUUUGGAAGCAGUGAAUGAUGAACCAGGGAGCAGGUGAACCCAGCUGUCGAUGGCCAUGGGCUCUCUGGCUCCUCUCUUCCCGUGGCCCUCUGCUCCGUGCCGGGUUCUCAGGGAGCCGGCUGGGGCCAGCCAGGCAGCGGCAGAGUGGGCAGGCGAGCCGAGGCAAGGGGAGGCGAGGCAGGCUCUCAUCCCCGCUAGCAAGAUGCUCCUCAGAAAAGCGGAGCAGCAAAUCAAUAUGGAGGAGAGAGGCUAGCAGAGUUCGCCCAUCACUGCCCCCGGCCCUAGAGCCCAGGGACCCAGCGCUGCCAGCUCUCACUCUCCUCCUCCUCUAGUAGCAGGACCAGAACCAGCCACUGUAUGGAGCACAUCAGUCAGAUCCUAACCCUCAACCACCCGCUUUCUCUCUAUCUGUGUGUGUGUAAGCAUGUCUGUAUGUGUGGUUCCGCCGUAGGGGCUUUUCUGGUCCAAGACCAUUUGAUAAAACUUUGCCAGCGAGAAAGAGAGAGAAUAAAAAACAUUUUUUAAACAUAUUUUAUUUUUUCGCUGAUUACUCAUUCUUACUCAUUCCACCUGACUGUUUGAGCGAGAGUUCUUAUAUUGAAUUGAACAGGGCUCUCUCGUCAGUCCCCCUCCAAGCAUGUACUGUACAGUCACCAUGCUCUCCACAUCUGAUGAACCAGGAUAAAAGGACAAUUUGAACUUUUUUCUCUCGUCUGCAGAUUCAGAGAAAAUCUUUUUUCGCCUCCAGUUUUCUUCCUCACCCCUCAGGUUACUAUCAGAGGAGGUGGCAGAGGUUAUUGAUCUGUAUGGAGAUGGAAGAGGUGCUGGUUUUGAUACAGUACAGUUCACUGUCUGAUGGUUAUAUAGUAGUGUCUGAUAACCCAUUCACUGUACAGCGGAACAAUAUUCAGGAGUGAACGAGUCCUGAGUGAGAGAUGAAAAGGACGGUGAGCAUAUAUUGCCUGAACAGUGGCCUGAACAGUGGGCCUGAUCAGUGGCCUGAACAGUAUCCACUAUUUCAUGUGACUUUUCUCCUCCAUAUUUGAACAAUUCUCUCCCCACAAGGAGCUUUGAAAAGGCCGUCUAUACAAGAAGCCCUAUCUUUAGAUACAUAGAAAUAGGAAACAUUUGAUUAAAUAAGAAUGACUUUAAGUGCUUUUUUUUUUCGUUGGAGAAGAAAGGGAUUGAAAACUUCUGGGCUGGAGAGGACAAAGGGGACAGAGAUAGUUUGGACCUGAAACAGGAACACCUUUACACAGAGAGAUCUACAAACAACACAAUGUUGCAGACUUCACUUGAUGCUGAGGUUACAAUGGAGGUGCAGUGGAAGCAUCAAGCAUCAUGUCCCGUGCAGACCAAACCAGACACACAGAGAUGUAAAGCCGUUCGCUGAAAUAAAGGUCAAUACAAAUACCCCACCACAGUCAAGAGGAUUCAGUUCUCCAAUCUACUGAUUAUCACCAAGUGUUUGUGUGGUCAGGUAAGUAGGAGUCUUAACAAGGGAAAGGUACAUUUAUAAGUGGUGGUUGAAAAGUAAUACAUUUUUUUGAAUAGUUUCAUUAGGUCUUAAUGAAAGAUUUUGAAACCAAUUUUAGGGGGAUAUUGGUUGAGAUCCCAAGGGAUCCUUUGCCCGUUUCUAUUUCAGAGUAAAGCUUUUAAAUGUAAAAUCCUUGAUUUGCUCAAGUCUUUGUAUGUGUUUGCACUGCAGCUUCAUUCUCUUACCUACAAUUUUCAUAUCAUUGAUCGUAAUAACUAUUUUUUAUGUAAAAAAUUAAAGACUGCUGCAUGUUUUCAGUGUCUUGUGGUAAAAAAUACAAAUAAAGUGAACGUAAUUGAAAAAAGAAAA